rnacentral:miRNA from 1 species
GUUGACACUGUGGUUGCAUGACU